rnacentral:rRNA from 1 species
GACGAACGCUGGCGGCGUGCCUAAUACAUGCAAGUAGAACGCUGAAGGAGGAGCUUGCUCUUCUGGAUGAGUUGCGAACGGGUGAGUAACGCGUAGGUAACCUGCCUGGUAGCGGGGGAUAACUAUUGGAAACGAUAGCUAAUGCCGCAUAACAGUAGAUGUUGCAUGACAUUUACUUAAAAGGUGCAAUUGCAUCACUACCAGAUGGACCUGCGUUGUAUUAGCUAGUUGGUGGGGUAACGGCUCACCAAGGCGACGAUACAUAGCCGACCUGAGAGGGUGAUCGGCCACACUGGGACUGAGACACGGCCCAGACUCCUACGGGAGGCAGCAGUAGGGAAUCUUCGGCAAUGGACGGAAGUCUGACCGAGCAACGCCGCGUGAGUGAAGAAGGUUUUCGGAUCGUAAAGCUCUGUUGUAAGAGAAGAACGAGUGUGAGAGUGGAAAGUUCACACUGUGACGGUAUCUUACCAGAAAGGGACGGCUAACUACGUG